rnacentral:rRNA from 1 species
AGUAACGGCGAGUGAAGCGGCAACAGCUCAAAUUUGAAAUCUGGCGCAAGCCCGAGUUGUAAUUUGUAGAGGAUGCUUCUAGGUUGCGGCCGGUCUAAGUUCCUUGGAACAGGACGUCACAGAGGGUGAGAAUCCCGUAUGUGACCGGCUUGCACCUUCUACGUAGCUCCUUCGACGAGUCGAGUUGUUUGGGAAUGCAGCUCUAAAUGGGAGGUAAAUGUCUUCUAAAGCUAAAUACCGGCCAGAGACCGAUAGCGCACAAGUAGAGUGAUCGAAAGAUGAAAAGCACUUUGGAAAGAGAGUUAAAAAGCACGUGAAAUUGUUGAAAGGGAAGCGCAUGCAACCAGACUUGUCGGCGGUGUUCCGCCGGUCUUCUGACCGGUCUACUCGCCGCCGACAGGCCAGCAUCGUCUGGGGGCGCCGGAGAAAGGUGCCGGGAAUGUAGCUCCUCGGAGUGUUAUAGCCCGGCACACAAUACGGUGACUCCCGGGCGAGGUCCGCGCUUCGGCUAGGAUGCUGGCGUAAUGGUUGCCUGCGACCCGUCUUGAAACACGGACCAAGGAGUCGACCAUCUGUGCGAGUGUUCGGGUGUCAAACCCCUACGCGUAAUGAAAGUGAACGGAGGUGGGAACGCAAGUGCACCAUCGACCGAUCCUGAUGUCUUCGGAUGGAUUUGAGUAAGAGCAUAGCUGGUCGGACCCGAAAGAUGGUGAACUAUGCCUGAAUAGGGUGAAGCCAGAGGAAACUCUGGUGGAGGCUCGCAGCGGUUCUGACGUGCAAAUCGAUCGUCAAAUUUGGGUAUA